AGUGAACGCUGGCGGUAGGCCUAACACAUGCAAGUCGAACGGCAGCACAGUAAGAGCUUGCUCUUACGGGUGGCGAGUGGCGGACGGGUGAGGAAUACAUCGGAAUCUACUUUUUCGUGGGGGAUAACGUAGGGAAACUUACGCUAAUACCGCAUACGACCUACGGGUGAAAGAAGGGGAUCUUCGGACCUUGCGCGAUUGAAUGAGCCGAUGUCGGAUUAGCUAGUUGGCGGGGUAAAGGCCCACCAAGGCGACGAUCCGUAGCUGGUCUGAGAGGAUGAUCAGCCACACUGGAACUGAGACACGGUCCAGACUCCUACGGGAGGCAGUAGUGGGGAAUAUUGGACAAUGGGCGCAAGCCUGAUCCAGCCAUACCGCGUGGGUGAAGAAGGCCUUCGGGUUGUAAAGCCCUUUUGUUGGGAAAGAAAAGCAGCAGGUUAAUACCCCGCUGUUCUGACGGUACCCAAAGAAUAAGCACCGGCUAACUUCGUG
rnacentral:rRNA from 1 species